rnacentral:misc_RNA from 1 species
CCAGGUCUUCGACCAGAUCCGGAUUUCGAUCGCAUCGCCUGAGAAGAUUCUGUCGUGGUCCUACGGCGAGAUCAAGAAGCCGGAAACCAUCAACUACCGCACGNNNNNNNNNNNNGACGGCCUGUUCUGCGCGCGCAUCUUCGGGCCGAUCAAGGACUACGAAUGUCUUUGCGGCAAGUACAAGCGCAUGAAGUACAAGGGCAUCAUCUGCGAGAAGUGCUCGGUCGAAGUGACGCUGUCACGCGUCCGACGCGAGCGUAUGGGUCACAU